rnacentral:rRNA from 1 species
GACGAACGCUGGCGGCGUGCUUAACACAUGCAAGUCGAACGGAAAGGCCCUGCUUUUGUUGGGUGCUCGAGUGGCGAACCGGUGAGUAACAUGAGAGUAACCUGCCCUUGCCUUUGGGUUAACUUCACGAAACUGGGGCUAAUACCGGAUAGGAGCUCCUGCUGCAUGGUGGGGGUUGGAAUGUUUCGGCGGUUGGGGAUGGACGCGCGGCUUAUCAGCCUGUUGGUGGGGUAGUGGCUUACGAAGGCUUUGACGGGUAGCCGGCCUGAGAGGGUGACCGGCAACAUUGGGACUGAGAUGCGGCGCAGACUCCUACGGGAGGCAGCAGUGGGGAAUAGUGCACAAUGGGCGGAAGCCUGAUGCAGCAACGCCGCGUGCGGGAUGACGGCCUUCGGGUUGUAAACCGCUUUCGCCUGUGACGAAGCGUGGGUGACGGUAAUGGGUAAAGAAGCACCGGCUAACUACGUG